UACGCAAGUCUGACGGAGCAACGCCGCGUGAGCGAAGAAGGUCUUCGGAUCGUAAAGCUCUGUUAUUAGGGAAGAACAAGUACCGUUUGAAUAAGGCGGUACCUUGACGGUACCUAACGAGAAAGCCACGGCUAACUACGUGCCAGCAGCCGCGGUAAUA
rnacentral:rRNA from 1 species